rnacentral:rRNA from 1 species
AGUGAACGCUGGCGGUAGGCCUAACACAUGCAAGUCGAACGGCAGCACAGUAAGAGCUUGCUCUUACGGGUGGCGAGUGACGGACGGGUGAGGAAUACAUCGGAAUCUACUUUUUCGUGGGGGAUAACGUAGGGAAACUUACGCUAAUACCGCAUACGACCUACAGGUGAAAGCAGGGGAUCUUCGGACCUUGCGCGAUUGAAUGAGCCGAUGUCGGAUUAGCUAGUUGGCGGGGUAAAGGCCCACCAAGGCGACGAUCCGUAGCUGGUCUGAGAGGAUGAUCAGCCACACUGGAACUGAGACACGGUCCAGACUCCUACGGGAGGCAGCAGUGGGGAAUAUUGGACAAUGGGCGCAAGCCUGAUCCAGCCAUACCGCGUGGGUGAAGAAGGCCUUCGGGUUGUAAAGCCCUUUUGUUGGGAAAGAAAAGCAGCAGGUUAAUACCCCGCUGUUCUGACGGUACCCAAAGAAUAAGCACCGGCUAACUUCGUG